CAAAAUGUUCUGUGGCUUCUAAAGAUGCUUUUUCUAAUGGAAAUGCUUUUUAGAUAUUUCUAGGAAUGUAUUGUACAUUAACACAGGUGAUAUUUCUAUUAUUGGUUGCCUUUUUUCUGGAACAAUCUUUUUGGCAGUUUGUAUUUUAAAAAGAAGAAGAAGAAGAAGCAGCUUCAGCACUUUUCUGGUGUUCCAAGAAUUAUAACAAUGCUAAACAGCUAACUAAUUCUGUCUGACAGAAAGCAAUAAUGGCUCUUUGCUGACCGUAACACAUCAGCCUGUGGGCAACUUCUUGUUAUGUGUUCAGAGUAGAUAGACAUGCUGGAACAAGUGGUUUGUUGCUGCAAAGUCAUAAUUCCAGUUAGUUUCUACAGAGCUAAUGAGCAAGUACUGUUCUUGAACAAUGUAUGAGAGAGAGAAAAUCUUAAAAUGAAAAAAAAGUACAAAAAAUGUAAGACUGAAAUACUACAUGUCUGAACAUGAGUAAUUCCUGUUUCUGGCGUCAGUGCUCUGAUAUGAAAUUUUCAGAUCACGAGUCAUAGAUUUAGAAUUGGGCCUUCUUGAAUUUAUGACAUGCUCAAACUUGCCAAUGGAAAGCUCUCCACAAACUCGGAGUAAUUCUUUCAAAGCUGUAAGUAUUAUAGAUGCUCACAUGGAGCACUGAUGUUGGGAGAAUAUUUAAUGUUUUAAUGUCUAUCUUUUAUUUCAUUUUAGCAGUUGGAGAAAAGGAGGAAAAGUGACAAAAAUAGGCCUAUUCACGGAUAACUCAAGCUCAGACAACAUCACGAUGGAGACCAAAUAUAAGUCAAUGACAUUGUGAGGUGAGGGAAAACAUAAUGAAGCAUCUACCCAUUCCUAACUGGCUGACCCAGCUUGGUCUCCCAGAAUAUUGCACGCUCUUUGAACAGUAUGAUGGCGUAGAGGACCUACUCCAUCUUACAGAGGUUGAUCUUAGGAAAAUGGGAAUUGGAAAUCAAGUCCACCGAACAUACAUCAUUUCCAAUAUCCUGCUGCUUCAGGAAAUAGAAAAAAAGAGAGAGCAAGAGGCAGAGCACUCUGUCCUGUAGCUAUGAGCACUUCAAGAAUGACAUGCUGAAAGCCGUAGCCCGGUAGUUAAGAGCAGUGCUCCAGAAAAGAACUGUCAUUUGCCAGAAUCCCCUGAUAUAACUAAAGCAGAGUUUGAUGCUACGUGGGGUUGAGACAGAGUGAUAUUUAGUCAUAUUACAAUAUCGUGCUACAGUCUUUAGAAGUGUGGUUUAAUUGUGGUUUCUUAUGAAUUACGGUAAUAGAAUAAAUCAUACUUCAGGUAUGUUGAGGAAGGACA
rnacentral:lncRNA from 1 species